CCCUCGGCGAGCAUAACGUGCUGAGGCAGCUGGGGGAGCCGUUCCAGAGCAGGCGCAAGUGCCUACAUGCACCUCGCUUGUACACUUAGGGCCACAUUUCUGUUGUUUCCCAAGGCGUCAUUCGACCGCGAAGACACCGAUAACAAGCAUUGGCGACGUCGUCGAGACCGUCUGCGCUGAGCGGGCCCAAGAGCGGUCAAGGACGGUAAAUCUCUCCAGCGCCGCGCAAGCCCGGAUCUGUCCCCCAACACCGAGAGUCUGCAGCCAACACCCGAGGUCGGGCUGCAGGCUGCGUGGCUUCCCCCCCCCUCCCACAUUCCCCACAGAGUGGGCACCAGGCGCGGAUACCACCGGUCAGGUGGCCUCCGGCAUCCUCGGAAACCGAGACCGGCAUAGAAAUACAAACACACACAUAGAGGGUACUUCGUUGUCGUUCUGUCUGUGUGCAGUGGUGGGCCCGAUCUCCCCCGUCUGCGCAAUCGUCUCGUGCGUCUGCCGGCGUUUGGGAGAUGUCUAUCCCGACUGUCCACCGAGAGCUACGGGUGCGGUCGUGGCGUGCGCUGUGGAACCUGCUCGCGGCGUACCGGCUGCCGCUGAUUAUCUUUGUCUCUGCGACGGCUCUUAUCUGGGGGCACAACAUCUUCUUCUGUCGACUUCUUCGUGCAGUGAGGGAGGCGGAGGCGACUGGUGUGCUCCCCUUCGAGGCCAUGAGCCUCCUGCAAACGCAGCGAUACAAGCUCGGCUACACCGCUACGGGCACAUUUGCGGUUUGCGCUCUUACCCUCGGGAACGUCCUGGUCGCGCUCAUGUACUGGUCCUUUGCACGCGUCAUCUUCACCUGCCCCGGGUACGUGCCAGAAGAGCCGUGGAGAUACACACCUCGCUUCGAUGCUGAGCGACGGCACCAUUUGAAGGUGACGUGGUCGGCGCAACUGAAGUGGAUCCAAGAACAAGGCGUCGCUGUACGGCGGCGAGCAUUGCAAGCUCUGCAGGAGCAGCAGGCGCUGUGGGCUUACCAGUUGCACAUGUUGCAGCAGCAGCCACCGCACGCGUAUCCCCCACCAGCCUCUGGACUCAUAACGGCUCUCGGGUCUCCAUUCGCGCCUGCAGUGACACCAGGGCAGUUUCCAGCUCCAAACGAUGCCGCGAGCAGCGACAGCCUCUUGAUGGCUGCACCGACGCCUCAGCAGCCCUUCUCCCCGCAGCUAGCAGCAGCGGGGAGUCGUGUAAUCUCGUGCGCACCAGCCCUCGCUGUUGAUGCGUCGCUCUCAGUGGGCAUGGCAAACAUCGCGGCGAACCCCGCGAAGGCAGCCGUCUUGUGCUCAGGAUCCGCAGCUCCGCAGCGGACGUGCGAGACAUCCGGGAAAGCACCUUCCUCCACGUUAUCUCCCUCAGCGACAGAGACGACUGCCACAGCCAUAACCACCACCGCCACUACAGCUUCCUCUUCCUGCAUCACCUCAUCCUCUUCAGAUGGGUCCGCAACACCAAUGACAAGUACACCGGACCGAGGAUCCACCGGGGCUCGCGGGCCUCACGGUCCCCCGACCAGUUGCGAUGCAGCUCCGCCAGCGCUGUCUCUGCAUCGUCGGCCGUGCACAGCCAUUGCUGCUGUCAAACCCACUGUGAACCCGAACCUGGUGCUCGAGUACGAGGCGGAUGGGUCGCUGCGGUUCUGUGGGGUGUGCCACCAGUACAAGCCAGACGGCAGCCACCACUGUCGCGUAUGUGAGCGCUGCGUGUUUGACAUGGACCACCACUGCCACUUUCUCAAUAACUGCAUCGGCCGGCACAACUACAAAUACUUCUUCUUGUGCAUCUUCUACUCCACGUUGGGUGGCGCUGUGAACUCGACGCUGUUCGUUACUGUGUAUGGGUGCAGCGUCGUGUGCCACGACUGGAGCCACGGCUGGUGGUGGGUGCCGGCUGGCAUGUGCGCCAUCAGCGCGUGCAUUGCGUAUCUGUGGGUGCAGCACAUUUUUCUACUCAUUCGAGGCGUCAGCACGCUGGAGCGCAUGACCGAACUGUCCUCGGAGCACUUUCUCAUGAGCGUGAGCGAAUCGGGCCUCAGUCAGGUCGUCAGGCCCGGAAGCUGCUGCAGCGACUGCGGAAUGGCCAUCGGUGAAUGCGUUCGCGGCAUUGCAGCACUCGGGGAACGCCUCGUUGAGUCACUAGGGUGCAACAGCAAGUCCCGCAGACUAUACAAGACCACGGCCUCGUCUCCCACCAGCAGCGGCAGGGGUGAUGGCGAAGGCGGAGCGCCGUCCGCGCCUUCAGACCGAGCGGGGCGCCGGGCGCAGCGCUUUGUGUUGUUGUUCGGACGCCCGCGCUGCUGCCUGUACCAUCUGCUGCCGCUCUCGCCCCCAGGCGAGUCUUCGCGACCGCGCGCGCGGCCGCGCGAAGGAGAGGUAUAGUGCACCGGGGCUCGGUGCGGCGCUGGCUUCCUGAACCAAGUCGCUUGCCUCUGCCUGCAUGCAGUUGUACGUCGAGCAAGGCGUCUUUUGCUUUCCAUCGCUUGUCUCUCCUCACAGAGCACCCGGAUCACGGGAAACACACCGCAGUGCGUGGCAUCACAGGACACAGCAUCCCCCUCCACAGCCUAUCCCAUGCCGAAUGCCAGAGCAAACCUCCGGCGGUGACAGGGCCAAGUGCCCACGACGUGGCGAACCCAGAGCGCUUCAUCGCUACUGAUGUCGGCGGCCAGGUCCUGGAUGGUGCGGCGCCGGGACCACCCGCGACAUCGAGCACGUCGGUGCCAUCCACAUGACGGGCAGGGUGCCGGCGCGACUCGAGCGUGUAUCCCACACACACGGCCCUCGCACUGCCCACGAGUUGGUGGGAGGGGGGAGAGCCUGAGCGCCACCCCGAGGGACGCCACCAGGUGGCGACCGGCAUGAUGGGUGAGCGGCUGUGAGGGCUGGUGAGCAGACGUUGAGGGAGAGGCCGUGCUCAGAUGAGUGAGUAUGCAGUACUGUAGCGCGCGUGUCUGCGGCUUUUUCGAACCACGGGAUUCACCCUGUGACAGGUCGAGGGCUCGAGAGUGGUGUGCAACCCGUGCUGUGUGGCAGAGAACGGACAAGCUGAAGCGAAAGAAAGGAAACCACAUCUUCCUCGAGCCUGCCACGUUGAUGCAACCAUGACUGGCACUCCCUUGGCUCCUUCUCCUCGCCCCCUUCCCCCUGCGCCAUCUCCACGUCGAAUGACCCUCCUCCCCCCUCUCCCCUGCGUUGUCGCGCGCCACUUCACCGCCCCUCAUUCUGUCCUCGGGUGCUCCCGCCACUUUGCACGUCUCACUCUCUGUCCCCCAUUCUUCCGCGGUUUGCUUGGGCCGGGCUCUUGUGUGCUGCCGCACUGCCUGGUCUCCACGCCCUCCCCUCUCCUCCACGCACUACUACACCGCUUCCUUCCGCUCUUCCCUCGCGCAG
rnacentral:misc_RNA from 1 species